UAGGGAAUCUGGAAUGGAAAU
rnacentral:piRNA from 1 species